rnacentral:rRNA from 1 species
UACGGAGGGUGCAAGCGUUAUCCGGAUUCACUGGGUUUAAAGGGUGCGUAGGUGGGUUGGUAAGUCAGUGGUGAAAUCUCCGGGCUUAACUCGGAACGGCCAAGUGAAACUGUCAAGCUAGAGUGCAGAAGGGGCAAUCGGAAUUCUUGGUGUAGCGGUGAAAUGCGUAGAUAUCAAGAGGAACACCUGAGGUGAAGACGGGUUGCUGGGCUGACACUGACGCUGAGGCGCGAAAGCCAGGGGAGCAAACGGG